UACCAGCUCUCCGAGUGGUGUGGAUGUUUAUUGGGCCUAAAGCAUCCGUAGCUGGCCAAGUUAGUCCCCUGUUAAAUCCACCGAAUUAAUCGUUGGAGUGCGGGGGAUACUGCUCGGCUAGGGGACGAGAGAGGCCGACGGUAUUUUCGGGGUAGGGGUGAAAUCCUAUAAUCCCGGGAAGACCACCAGUGGCGAAGGCUGUCGGCUAGAACGCGCCCGACGGUGAGGGAUGAAAGCUGGGGGAGCGAACCGGAUUAGAUACCCGGGUAGUCCCAGCUGUAAACGAUGCAGGCUAGGUGUUUGGGCGGCCACGUGCCGCUCUAGUGCCGCAGAGAAGUCGUUAAGCCUGCCGCCUGGGGAGUACGGCCGCAAGGCUGAAACUUAAAGGAAUUGGCGGGGGAGCACCACAAGGGGUGAAGCUUGCGGUUU
rnacentral:rRNA from 1 species